rnacentral:rRNA from 1 species
GACCCGCGCCGUAUUAGCUAGUUGGUGGGGUAACGGCCUACCAAGGCGACGAUACGUAGCCGACCUGAGAGGGUGAUCGGCCACACUGGAACUGAGACACGGUCCAGACUCCUACGGGAGGCAGCAGUAGGGAAUCUUCCGCAAUGGGCGAAAGCCUGACGGAGCAACGCCGCGUGAGUGAUGAAGGUCUUCGGAUCGUAAAGCUCUGUUGUUAGGGAAGAACAAAUGUGUAAGUAACUGUGCACAUCUUGACGGUACCUAACCAGAAAGCCACGGCUAACUACGUGCCAGCAGCCGCGGUAAUACGUAGGUGGCAAGCGUUAUCCGGAAUUAUUGGGCGUAAAGCGCGCGUAGGCGGUUUUUUAAGUCUGAUGUGAAAGCCCACGGCUCAACCGUGGAGGGUCAUUGGAAACUGGAAAACUUGAGUGCAGAAGAGGAAAGUGGAAUUCCAUGUGUAGCGGUGAAAUGCGCAGAGAUAUGGAGGAACACCAGUGGCGAAGGCGGCUUUCUGGUCUGCAACUGACGCUGAUGUGCGAAAGCGUGGGGAUCAAACAGGAUUAGAUACCCUGGUAGUCCACGCCGUAAACGAUGAGUGCUAAGUGUUAGGGGGUUUCCGCCCCUUAGUGCUGCAGCUAACGCAUUAAGCACUCCGCCUGGGGAGUACGGUCGCAAGACUGAAACUCAAAGGAAUUGACGGGGACCCGCACAAGCGGUGGAGCAUGUGGUUUAAUUCGAAGCAACGCGAAGAACCUUACCAAAUCUUGACAUCCUUUGACCGCUCUAGAGAUAGAGUUUUCCUCUUCGGAGGACAAAGUGACAGGUGGUGCAUGGUUGUCGUCAGCUCGUGUCGUGAGAUGUUGGGUUAAGUCCCGCAACGAGCGCAACCCUUGAACUUAGUUGCCAUCAUUCAGUUGGGCACUCUAAGUUGACUGCCGGUGACAAACCGGAGGAAGGUGGGGAUGACGUCAAAUCAUCAUGCCCCUUAUGAUUUGGGCUACACACGUGCUACAAUGGACAAUACAAAGGGCAGCGAAACCGCGAGGUCAAGCAAAUCCCAUAAAGUUGUUCUCAGUUCGGAUUGUAGUCUGCAACUCGACUACAUGAAGCUGGAAUCGCUAGUAAUCGUAGAUCAGCAUGCUACGGUGAAUACGUUCCCGGGUCUUGUACACACCGCCCGUCACACCACGAGAGUUUGUAACACCCGAAGCCGGUGGAGUAACCAUUUUGGAGCUAGCCGUCGAAGGUGGGACAAAUGAUUGGGGUGAAGUCGUAACAAGGUAGCCGUAUCGGAAGGUGCGGCUGGAUCACCUCCUUU